AUUGAACGCUGGCGGCAGGCCUAACACAUGCAAGUCGAGCGAGCGGCGGACGGGUGAGUAAUGUCUGGGAAACUGCCUGAGGGAGGGGGAUAACUACUGGAAACGGUAGCUAAUACCGCAUACCAUCAGAUUUGCCCAGAUGGGAUUAGCUCGUAGGUGGGGUAACGGCUAACCUAGGCGACGAUCCCUAGCUGGUCUGAGAGAAUGACCAGCAAAACUGGAACUGAGACACGGUCCAGACUCUAACGGGAGGCAGCAGUGGGGAAUAUUGAAAAAUGGGCGAAAGCCUGAUGCAGCCAUGCCGCGUGUGUGAAGAAGGCCUUCGGGUUGUAAAGCACUUUCAGCGGGGAGGCGUUACCCGAAGAGGAAGCACCGGCUAACUCCGUGCCAGCAGCCGCGGUAAUAC
rnacentral:rRNA from 1 species